UUGUCAAGGCUUGAUCAAGACCUAAUGUAAUAUGAGAGACUGAAAAUUGAGCAGAAGAGCUUAUUCCAGGCAUCUGAGAGGUGGCUCAGUGGGGCUGCCUGCCAGUCCUGACAUCUCCCCUUCUUGUCUGUCGUUGAUCUGAGACUCAUGCCAUCCAUCCCUUUGUGGUGAGACCAGCCUGCCUCGAUCAUCCCGGUCAUCAAAGGGCUUUGGAGGCCCUCAGGAAUGCUCAGGAAGCGAAACCUAAACAGUCUGGAGCUGGAGCAUCCUUGGGAACUGGAGGAGGAGGGUGCCGGGCUAGCCUGAAGGGACCCCAGAAUUGCAAACCCUGGAACUUCCAGGGGGACUCUGGAGUCAGGGAAACCAGGGAUGAGCUGGAGCUGCUGCAGGUGUCUUGCCACUAUUGAUAAAUGAGAAUGAAAUCAACACGGAGGCAAACAGAGGUGGAGAGCAACUGAGUCCUGAAGACAUCCUCAAAAUCCUUCAAUCAAACUGUACCAAGAAGCCUGGUGACAGGAGUCCCUUCUGCUCAAGCCAGGUUUGAGGUGGGUUUCUUUUCUUACAAGUAUAAGAGCCAAGUCACAUAUAGGGCCUCAAGCUACCUUUCUGAGUCGGAAUCUCUUUGUGGUUGGUGGGAGGAGAUGGCAGGGAAGUCCAGGUUCCUGUCUGCUUCUAAAAGUUUCCCAAGG
rnacentral:lncRNA from 13 species